UAGAUUAAUUAUUGAUUAUUUAUACUUAUGCAUAAUGUAUGCACAGGAUAAAAAGGAAGGUUUGGUAGCCGAGGCUGCUCGAGGACUUGCUUGGAUGGAUGGAAAUGUAGAAAAGAUGGAAAAGUAAACCCUUUAGCAGUUGAGAAAAAUAUUUUUCUAGGUCAGAGAAGACGAAUAUUGGAAGUGCAUCAUUAAGCGGGGAAUUAGUGAAUAAAUUGACUGGACUUGCAGCAAGUAAUUUAUGGAUUGUAUCUAGGGAAAUUACUUAUUUUUCAUUACAGCCUGUCACGGAGACCUGGAUUUCGGGAUGUAUGCAUGAGAUAAGGUUUUUUACUCAUCAUCAAUGCAAAAUCAUUUAAUCCCCAGUCGAUGGAUUUGAUAUGGACAUAUUGCAAUUAGCGGAGAGCACGGAUAGAAACGGUGAGCUUAUGGUUCCACCUUCAGCUAUAAAUGCGACUUAUAUUUCCUGCGUCCGCAGCUCGAGUUAAGGUUUGAGGCAGUACGCCCUGUCCUAAGAGAGAUGGCUCUUGCUGGUCUUGUUCACCUGGAUGCAAAGCAAGAAGCAAGUUACCCAACAUAUAUUUACUUUGUUGCUCAAAGUUGUAGGAAAGAGUGCUCCUGAAUUAUCUAAAGAAGCUGCUGGUGUUUGCUUAUGGUCAUUGAGUCAAAACACAGAUAUUUACAAAUAAUGGACAAGGUGUACUUAAAAAGCUGGCGAAUGAAUGAUUGCAGCACUCUACUAAAUAUUUUGAUCCUUUAAGGGAGUCUGUUAAGAUUUUAAGGCAGGAGAAAUACAUCAUCCCACGGCUUGCAAAUUUCUAUGCUAAUUCCUGGUUCUAUCAGAUAUCUAAGGAAAAACUUCCUGUGCAUAAAAGAUUUAAUGUUUGAACGCAAGGAUCACAUGGAGACUCAAAUGUUGCACACCCACCAUCCGAGCGGUCAUAUGUAGUGUACUUUUGAUUUAUUAAUGCAUGAUGUAACCUUUAGAUAGAAUUACACUGAUAGAAGUAGGUUGUUCAUUAUAUUUUCCUAGUGUAUCAACCUUCUAAUUUAGUGAAUGGUUGCAUAAAUUCACUGGAUAUGAAUAUGAAUAUAUGGAUGUAUUGUAAUUUCACAAACAAGAAUGAUUAUAAA